rnacentral:lncRNA from 1 species
GGACUGAAAGACCACACAGAAUUCCUUGUGGUUGAAGCCAGCCAGGGGAGCAUUACAUAAAGCACCCCUUAGUGGCAAGGCCUGUGUGUGUUUCGCCGUGCUCUCUGAGGCCUCCAUGAUGCUGGUUUCCCACUGUGCCUCCUGAGAACACACAGUGUGGGUAGACUACUAGUGUCGAAUCAGUGCCGCAGCUCCUGUACAGGGUCUUCUGUGGCCAUAUACGGCAGAACCUGAUUCUGGAUGUGCAGUUAAUGGGAACAAAGUCUCUGGCUCUGUGGCUCCUAAAAUCACAGUUAAAUGCUAUUUUAAGGAAAGGGCGGAAAGUCCUAAUUGCAUACUACACAGUAAUUAGAGCCAACCUUAUUAAAAACCUGGCAAAAGAAGCUAGAGGUAGCGAAUUUUAAACCAGGGAAUGAAGAGUUAUACAUGCUCAAUAAACAAGUGAAAAACUCAAAAACGAGAGACAAAAAUCAGGAAGAAACCUAUUUUCCAGGCAGAUGGGUGUCCAUUUUAAAAAGUCACCUUGGACCUCAAUAAGAAAUGCCAACAACAAUGAAAACCUUGAUGAGUAGGGCCACUCAACAAUGAUACUCCAAAGAAAGGUAUUUUCUGCUAGUCUCUCAGUCCCAGAUGUCAUACAAGCCACUGGAGAGAAGCUCAUCUCCAUCCCGUGCCCCUGGUACCCUGUCCAUAGCUCAGCUACUAUCCAUCCAAAUGUGGCUAAAAUCAGUGUACCCAGUGACAGCAUGCAAGGGGUGGCUAUCUGUCUCUGGAACCUUUUCUCCUGCUCAUUUUCCAAUGUUGCUUUUAUUUUACUAAAAUUGGGACUGAAACAUCACUCUUACUAGAUUAUAUAUACCCAACUCAUUUGUAAAUGUCAAAGUGGUACUAAUUAAAGGCUGAUGAAUAAGGUAGCUAUGCGGCCAGGUGCUUGUACAGAGGAAACAUCGUCCCAGGUUGAAACACAAAAAGUAACCAAAUGCGUGUAAAGAUAAGGGGAGAAGCAUUUCUCUGAGUGCCCCCAACACUUCUAAACAACACUCCCAAAUGAGGAUAAUCUACAGAGAUGUUGAGGCGCCUCUGGGCCACAGGAUAACUUCUUAAGUCAAAGGUUUAGGAAAAUCCUCUAAGCAAGAACCUCUUUCCAGUCAUUUCAGCUAAACUACUUGUGAACAUGGCUUUGAGGAUGACAGAGCCUAUCAAAGUGAAGAGUCUAGGGGCGCCUGGGUGGCGCAGUCGGUUAAGCGUCUGACUUCAGCCAGGUCACGAUCUCGCGGUCCGUGAGUUCGAGCCCCGCGUCAGGCUCUGGGCUGAUGGCUCAGAGCCUGGAGCCUGUUUCCGAUUCUGUGUCUCCCUCUCUCUCUGCCCCUCCCCUGUUCAUGCUCUGUCUCUCUCUGUCCCAAAGUGAAGAGUCUAAGGCAAUGGGAAGGGAGAUUCUAAAGAGGUGAAAAAUGACUUUAAGAGGACAGGAAACAGGGAUAUUGCUUAAUCCCUGUUUCUGGAGAAAGAUUACGGGCUAUAAUUUAGGGCCCACAAACAGGAAAUGCCCUUCUCACACACUCUUAUCUUUAUUCCUUGGUACUUCCCACCAAAAAUAAAUACCCUAAGAACAUGCAAGUUAAAAUCUCUGUCCUCUAGAGAUAUUAUUGACCAAAGCAGCGUAUCUCCAUGCAGUGAGUGGUUUGCAAACUACAGGCUGUUUUGAAAACAAAUGACAUGGUGUGUGGUGAGAACCUGGAGGCUACAGAGGGUGGAGAGAGAGAGUUAGUCUCAAGUGUGGAGCCGUGAGCAAUUAACUGUCAUGCCUUCAACUAAACUUUCCACAGUUCUGCAAUCCAGACUCAGACAACACAGCAAGGCCACCAAGAAAGCUACUGGUCUCCAGGUCACAAAGGCACUUGACACCUCCAAACACCAUUAUUCUUUCUAUGCCAACCACUCUCAGAUAAGCAAAACAACCCCCACUCCAGGAUCAUCUAACAGUGGCAAGAGGCACAAUUAGUUUUAACCACUUUCUUUGGGACCGAAAAUUCCCAGGUGCAGAGGGAAGAAGGCGAUUGGUAACUGAGGUACUUGGAGACCUCGAGAACCUCAGACUCUCUGAUGGCCCUGCGGUGCUGGCUGGGAUCCUGGCAUCCCAGGAGGACCUACUACAUCAUCCUCAUCUUCCUCCUCCUGCUCUUCGCUGUUUGUAUGGCGCCAGGAGGGCAUGCUCACGAGACGGAGGGUCUUCAGCCCUGCUGGCUCCUUUGGCCACCAACCAAGGCAAAAACAUGACAUAGUGACAGGAAAUUCACAACACAAAAAUGAGAAGGAAAUGAAUGCAACAUUUUUUUUAAAAAGUGAAAAUAAAUAUGAAAAUACCCUCCCACAACCCAAAACAUGCAAAACCAUAUCAAGACCAGAUCACAUGGUUAUAUUGAACACUUAGUCUGAAACACAUCUUCAAUUCUCCAUGGCUGCCCAUUCUCUCUUUUUGUGAAUCAACUAAAGGAGAAGGAGAUUCUGAGAAUAAUCAUGAAAGAGGUAUCUGGAUAGUUCUCAGUGAAGAGAUGAUAUGCUAUGAAUAUCUCCAUAAACAACUUGCACGUUUUCAAAGGUUAGGCAAAGAAAUUAGAUUGGAGUGUUUUCAGACGGUUUUAUAAGCAACGUCACCAAAAAAGAAUCACUUUCAAUAUAAAAUCCCUACAAGUUCAUCAAAUAUCCCAGCCAAAUUGCCCAAAAUGUAACUUUGUGAGUUAAAGUCCAGCAAUGUGAAAGUGACAUUACGAUUACUUAUGAGAUUUAUAAAUGAGGGCCAGAUAAGAAGUGGAAUUCGCCAGUAGUGGCUGUGCUAAUAAACGCAUCUGUCAAUUUAAGUCCAUUAAAAAUUAUAAAAGUAGGGGCACCUGGGUGGCUCGGUCAGUUUAAGCAUCUGACUCUUGAUUUUGGCUCAGGUCAUGAUCUCACAGUCAUGAGAUCGAGCCCCACAUUGAGUACCCCCACAGUGGAAGCAGAGCCUCCUUAGGGUUCUCUCUCCCUCGCUCCCUCUGCCCCUGCUCCACUCAGGCUCUCUCAGGGGGAAAAAUCAUAAAAGUAAUUCUACCGUAAGACAAAAAAGAUGCGAAACCAAAACAAAGGGCCCAUGGGAAGCCAAGCCCCAAUCCUUGAAGAAGGUGAAUAAUACUUAAGGAGCAAAAUCUAAUGUGCUAAAUUCCCUUCUUCAGAAACAGCAAACGCUGACUAAGAAUUCACCAAAGGCAAUGAAUGCUUGAGUUACUUCAGUUCAUGUUUUCCCCCAGAGAUGUUUCCAGUAUUUACCCCUGGACUUUUCUAAAUGAAAACUAUGUUGGGACACCUGGGUGUCUCAGUCAAUCAAGCGUCUGACUCUUGAUUUCGGCUUAGGUCAUGAUCUCAUGGUUCAUGAGACAGAGCCCCACGUCAGGCUCUGUGCUGACAGCAUGGAACCUGCUUGGGAUUCUCUCUCUCCCUCUCUCUGUCCACCCCACCCCCCUCAAAACAAAGAACCCACAAGUGGGGUUAUUUUGAUAAGCCAAGAAGCUCAGGCAGAUUUGUCUUUAGAUACAUAGGUGUUUCCCACAAGCAAUGCUUACUUAACACAUUUGGGAGUAGGCAGGCAUAUUUAAUUAUCCAAGGAAUUCAAAUGUACUGCAUCCAGGACUGUGUUCAGAUAGCAACUUCAGGGGCGCCUGGGUGGCGCAGUCGGUUAAGCGUCCGACUUCAGCCAGAUCACGAUCUCGCGGUCCGUGAGUUCGAGCUCCGCGUCGGGCUCUGGGCUGAUGGCUCGGAGCCUGGAGCCUGUUUCCGAUUCUGUGUCUCCCUCUCUCUCUGCCCCUCCCCCGUUCAUGCUCUGUCUCUCUCUGUCCCAAAAAUAAAAAAUAAACGUGGAAAAAAAAAAAAAAAAAAAAAAAAAAAAAAAAAAAAGAUAGCAACUUCAGUACUUCUCCAAACCUCUGAGAUUCAGUGAAUCAAAGAAGGAAGAAAGUGAGGUGAACUGGAAACAAUAACUCUAUAUACCUAGGAUUUUUUUUUAAGUUUAUUAAUUUACUUUGAGAGAGAAAGAGAGAGGGAGAGCACAUGUGGGCAGGGGAGGGGCAGAGAGAGGGAGAGGGAGAGGGAGAGGGAGAGGGGGAGGGGGAGGGGGAGAGGGAGGGGGAGAGAGAGAGAGAGAGAGAGAGAGAGAGAGAGAGAAUCCCAUGCUGGUUCCCUGCUGUCAGCACAGAGCCCAACUCGGGGUUUGAACUCAUGAACCGUGAGAUCAUGACAUGAGUCAAAAUCAAGAGUUGGACACUUAAUCGACUGAGUCACCCAGGCACCCUUAAAUACCAGGGCUUUUAAUAUAAACUUCAUAUCCUUAGCUGAAUACAGAAAAUAAAACAAUUCACAACAGAUGGGAAAAUAGGAGCACCUAUAUAGACUAGAAAGAAAACUCUAGAAAGAAAAAUAUACCUUACUAAAAAGAAUCUUUAUUUUUUUUAAGUUUAUUUAUUUAUUUAUUUAUUUAUUUAGAGAGAGAGAGAGAGAAAGAGAGUGCACGCCUAAGAGCAGGGGAGGGGCAGAGAGAGAAUUCCAAGCAGGUUCCACACUGUCAGCGCAAAGCCCAAUGCGGGGCUCAAACUCAGGAACUUCGAGAUCAUGACCUGAGCCGAAAUCAAGAGUUGGACACUUAACUGACUGAGCCACCCAGGCAUCCCACUAAAAAAAAAUCUUUAAAUGUGAAUCUAUUGUUCCUGAAAUAGUGUACCAACAAGUAGAUAAAGAACAAAUAAGGAGAAAAAAAAUGCAUAUGAAAGGAAUAAAACCGAUACCUGAUUCCAUCAAGAAAUGAGAAUAUGACAGAUCAAUUCACAUUAAGAUGAAACUACAUCAUUUUAAAACUGUAAGUAUGACUUAGAAGCAAAGUCCACCAAUAAUGUCUUCUACUUCUUUCUCCCAAGUAACAGAGAGCAGGCAGUGGCGGCCACUGUCCUGGCAUUCAACACGAUGGACUGGUAUGUCAUUAACAGGGCCAUGUUUGCGAGGUCACUCAUGAGAAGAAGAGAGAAGCUCACCAGUUUGAUGCCUGAGAGGACCUCCAGCAGAGAGAUUAGGUUGUGGCCAUCCCGCAGAUCUUCAUAAAGAUCAUUGAUGUGCUUGCGGACCUGUGCAUGAGAAUGAAACAGAUUUUUAUUUGGUCUUAAAAUCUCUUAUUAUCUACACAAGAGUUUUUGAUUCUAGGUAAACACAGAUUAAAGAAUUUGAAAUAUGAAACAAUAAUAAAAUUCAGGAAUUUUCAGUUUUGGAGUACAAUACAUAUGAAAUGUAA